rnacentral:rRNA from 1 species
UACGCAGGGGGCAAGCGUUGUCCGGAUUUAUUGGGCGUAAAGAGCGUGUAGGCGGCCAGGUAGGUCUGCUGUGAAAACUCGAGGCUUAACCUCGAGCUGUCGGCGGAAACCAUCUGGCUAGAGUCCGGAAGAGGAGAAUGGAAUUCCCGGUGUAGCGGUGAAAUGCGCAGAUAUCGGGAAGAACACCCGUGGCGAAGGCGGUUCUCUGGGACGGUACUGACGCUGAGACGCGAAAGCGUGGGGAGCGAACAGG